rnacentral:rRNA from 1 species
UACGUAGGGUGCGAGCGUUGUCCGGAAUUAUUGGGCGUAAAGAGCUCGUAGGCGGCUUGUCGCGUCGGAUGUGAAAGCCCGGGGCUUAACUCCGGGUCUGCAUUCGAUACGGGCAGGCUAGAGUUCGGUAGGGGAGAUCGGAAUUCCUGGUGUAGCGGUGAAAUGCGCGGAUAUCAGGAGGAACACCGGUGGCGAAGGCGGAUCUCUGGGCCGAUACUGACGCUGAGGAGCGAAAGCGUGGGGAGCGAACAGG